CAUGCUUGUAACUCAAGUGGGGGCAUUAUGGUGUUUGGACAUUGUUCAAACCCAACUGCCUGGAUUAGGCUUGCGACUCGCUGGCCUGCCCAUUCCAAGCAAGGAAUUGGGCUAAGUAGUCCAAGCGAAAGCAUGGGCUGCUUGGCUCUUAGAGUGGAGGGGACUGCGUCAGGCUGGUUUCACAGAGCAGCGAGAACCUCCCAUUCUUUGCAGUGGAAGGAUAACGGGCCGCUGCAUUCUGAUCCAUUGAAGUCAGAUGGGUU
rnacentral:SRP_RNA from 1 species